rnacentral:rRNA from 1 species
AUCGAGUCUUUGAACGCAAGUUGCGCCCGAAGCCGUCACGCNGAGGGCACGUCUGCCUGGGCGUCACGCAU